AUUGAACGCUGGCGGCAGGCUUAACACAUGCAAGUCGAGCGGUAACAUUUCUAGCUUGCUAGAAGAUGACGAGCGGCGGACGGGUGAGUAAUACUUAGGAAUCUACCUAGUAGUGGGGGAUAGCUCGGGGAAACUCGAAUUAAUACCGCAUACGACCUACGGGAGAAAGGGGGCAACUUGUUGCUCUCGCUAUUAGAUGAGCC
rnacentral:rRNA from 1 species